rnacentral:rRNA from 1 species
AUGCUCGUCGACGCCCGCAGCGGGAUGCUCGGCGGCGCCCCUCCAGAGUCCGCGCGCCUCACUGAUGAGUGUCUGAUGGAUGCCCGCAAGAAGAUUGAACACGAGAUCGAAAGUAAAGCCAAGGCGUCCUUGAAAGAAGGGCCACACCCAGGUACAUAUAUUGAAGAUGAAGAAGGAAACCCUAGUAGUGAUAGGAAUGAAGAAGGGAGACAUCAGUGUGUGGAAGAUACUGAUUUAGAUGAGAGAGGCUAUGAUGUCGAGAUCACCGACACUGAAGCAUCAGACGAUUUGCUGUAUGAAGAAGUUCUGACGGUGCUGACUAAGAGUGCUCAAAGGAAAGAACAUCGGAAAGCUGUUUUGCAACGAAAAAAGAAGAGAGCAAGGAUUGACCCAAACACAAUCAAAGUCACAAUUGAUGAGAUUGCGACCAAAGCUUACAGCCAGUGUAGCGUGCCAUACUUCUCCGAGAUUGUCAAUUUCAUGUGUAAGAGCCACCACAGGGUCCAGCUUGUUAGGAAUAGUGGUUUCGGCUAUCUGUUGGAGCUGGUUGACUGUCAUGUACCCAGGGGGUUUGUGCAGUGGAUCGCUGACAAUGUUGACACAAAAGCAGAAGCAAUUGUUUUCAACAAGAAGAGCAUUCCACUGAAUGCUCAGUCAGUGGAGUUUGUGUUGGGGAUUCCUUCAGGGGAAACAAUCAUAAACACUAAAGAAGAAGAGGCUGGCAAACAAGCUUUUCUUGCGCUUUUUGGGUUGACAGAAGUCCCAACAAUCAAAUUAUUUGGCAAUAAGCUGAUGAACGAAGAUAUGUCUGACGACCAGAUCAUCCGUUGUUUCCUGGUUGUGGCAUUAUCAACAUUCCUCUGCCCGACAUCAAACACUAAACCAAGCACCAAAUAUAUGGGAGCUCUAGUUAAUGUGGAGCAACUCAAGCAACUAAAUUGGUGCAGGUUUGUUCACGAUUGGGAGUUGAUGUAUAUAAAGAAAUACCAAAAGGAAAAGCUGAAGCGGAACCGAACAAUGAUGACUCUAGGAGGAUGUAUAUACCACCUAGCAGUCCGUUGUCUUGAUUUUACUGAUUUUGGCUCAAUUCAAAUCCCAUCUUUGAUGCCCAGAAUAUGUGUCUUGAAGGGAGAUAUGGUCAAGCAUUUAAGUGACAUGACCAUUGGAAGAGAUGGAAAGUAUGGAUGUCUCACAAUAAAAGAAGUAUCAGAAACCUGCUACAAGGAUGGAACAUACGAGUGGGCAAGUACGAUUAAGAAUUCAAAUUUCAGGAAAGCGAUAAACAAUGUUGCACAGAAUUCUUUGUCUGACAAGGUCAAAGAGGAUAUCUUCCUCGCUUACGAAAACCAUAUGAAGAAUGAAGACCUAAAUACUUGCAUCAAAGCUAAAGGGCUUCUGCUAGACACGAUCCGCAUCAUAACCAAUGCCUCUGGUGAAUCAGGUGAUACAGUUAAAGUGGGCUCAACAGGAACUGAAUUGAAUGCAAGCCAAUAG